rnacentral:sRNA from 1 species
UUCUCCUGCCUCAGCCACCUGAGUAGCUGGGAUUACAGGCAUGAGCCAACAUGCCCAGCUAAUUUUUUGUAUUUUUAGAAGAGACGGGGUUUCACCGUGUUAGCCAGGAUGGUCUCGAUCUCCCGACCUCGAGAUCCACCCUCCUUGGCCUCCCAAAGUGCUGGGAUUACAGGCCUGAGCCUCCGCGCCCGGCCACCACCGCGCCCAGCUGGCUACGUUUUUAGAAAAGAAUUUCCAGUUUGUGCUGGGGCUGCUACAAGAGCUUGAUGCCCUGGUCCCUGCUCAGGGACGUGGGUGGGUGCCUUGUCUGUCCCCACACCCCGGUCCCAGCCUCGUGUGUCUCUGGGCAGGAACAUCGCCAGGCGGGGCCUCUGGGUUCCCAGCGCCUUAGCCCAGGGCCCGCCAGCUGCCAGCGAAGGGUGCCUUCCCGAAGGGGCCUCCUCAGCAGGCGCUGGGCUCUCCCUUCCCAAAGGGGCCUCCUCAGCAGGCGCUGGGCUCUUCCCUUUCCGAAGGGGCCUCCUCAGCAGGCGCUGGGCUCUUCCCUUCCCGGAGGCGUGGCCAGAAGUUCCCCUUGGGCCUCCGGUCCUCGGGGUGUAAUGGCCAUGGUGUAUUUUUGGGAUGAAGACCAGUCCUUCCCGGGGAGGAGCUGCAGGUUCCUGGGGGUCAGGCAGGCAGCGCGGGCCGUGCUCCUCCACUCUGCUGACCGCGUCUCGCCGGGCCUUGCAGCCGGCACAGUCUUCACUACCGUAGAAGACCUUGGCUCCAAGAUACUCCUCACCUGCUACAUGAAUGACAGCGCCACAGAGGUCACCGGGCACCGCUGGCUGAAGGGGGGCGUGGUGCUGGAGGAGGACGCGCUGCCCGGCCAGAAAACGGAGUUCAAGGUGGACUCGGACGACCAGUGGGGAGAGUACUCCUGCGUCUUCCUCCCGGAGCCCAUGGGCACGGCCAACAUCCAGCUCCACGGGCCUCCCAGAGUGAAGGCUGUGAAGUCGUCAGAACACAUCAACGAGGGGGAGACGGCCGUGCUGGUCUGCAAGUCAGAGUCCGUGCCACCCGUCACCGACUGGGCCUGGUACAAGAUCACUGACUCUGGGGACAGCCCUCAUGAACGGCUCCGAGAGCAGGUUCUUCGUGAGUUCCUUGCAGGGCCGGUCAGAGCUACACAUUGAGAACCUGAACAUGGAGGCCGACCCCGGCCAGUACCGGUGCAACGGCAACAGCUCCGAGGGCUCUGACCAGGCCGUCAUCACGCUCCGCGUGCGCAGCCACCUGGCCGCCCUCUGGCCCUUCCUGGGCAUCGUGGCUGAGGUGCUGGUGCUGGUCACCAUCAUCUUCAUCUACGAGAAGCGCCGGAAGCCCGAGGACGUCCUGGAUGAUGACGACGCCGGCUCUGCACCCCUGAAGAGCAGCGGGCAGCACCAGAACGACAAAGGCAAGAACGUCCGCCAGAGGAACUCCUCCUGAGCCAGGUGGCCCAAGGACGCUCCCUGCUCCGCGUCUGCGCCGCCACCGGAGUCCACUCCCAGUGCUUGCAAGAUUCCAAGUUCUCACCUCUUAAAGAAAACCCACCCCGUAGAUUCCCAUCAUACACUUUCUUCUUUUUUAAAAAAGUUGGGUUUUCUCCAUUCAGGAUUCUGUUCCUUAGGUUUUUUCCUUCUGAAGUGUUUCACGAGAGCCCGGGAGCUGCUGCACUGCGGCCCCGUCUGUGGCUUUCAGCCUCUGGGUCUGAGUCAUGGCCGGGUGGGCGGCGCAGCCUUCUCCACUGGCCGGAGUCAGUGCCAGGUCCCUGCCCUUUGUGGAAGGUCACAGGUCACACGAGGGGCCCCAUGUCCCGCCUGUCUGAAGCCAACGCUGUCUGGUUGCACCAUUUUUGCGCUUUUAUGUUUAAUUUUAUGAAGGCCACGGGUCUGUGUUUGACUCAGCCUCAGGGACGACUCUGACCUCUUGGCCACAGAGGACUCACCUGCCCACACCGAGGGCGACCCCGUCACAGCCUCAAGUAACUCCCAAGCCCCCUCCUUGUCUGUGCAUCCGGGGGCAGCUCUGGAGGGGGUUUGCUGGGGAACUGGCGCCAUCGCCGGGACUCCAGAACCGCAGAAGCCUCCCCAGCUCACCCCUGGAGGACGGCCGGCUCUCCAUAGCACCAGGGCUCGCGUGGGAACCCCCCUCCCACCCACCGCCACAAUAAAGAUCGCCCCCACCUCCACCCUC